GACGAACGCUGGCGGCGUGCCUAACACAUGCAAGUCGAGCGAUGAAAUCCCUUCGGGGAUGGAUUAGCGGCGGACGGGUGAGUAACACGUGGGUAACCUGCCUCAAAGUGGGGGAUAGCCUUCCGAAAGGAAGAUUAAUACCGCAUAAUAUUAGAUUUUCGCAUGAAGAACUAAUUAAAGAAGUAAUUCGCUUUGAGAUGGACCCGCGGCGCAUUAGCUAGUUGGUGAGGUAAUGGCUCACCAAGGCGACGAUGCGUAGCCGACCUGAGAGGGUGAUCGGCCACAUUGGAACUGAGACACGGUCCAGACUCCUACGGGAGGCAGCAGUGGGGAAUAUUGCACAAUGGGGGAAACCCUGAUGCAGCAACGCCGCGUGAGUGAUGAAGGUCUUCGGAUUGUAAAGCUCUGUCUUUUGGGACGAUAAUGACGGUACCAAAGGGGGAAGCCACGGCUAACUACGUGCCAGCCGCCGCAGUAACAC
rnacentral:rRNA from 1 species